rnacentral:rRNA from 1 species
UGGGGAAUAUUGGACAAUGGGGGAAACCCUGAUCCAGCCAUGCCGCGUGAGUGAUGAAGGCCUUCGGGUUGUAAAGCUCUUUUGGUGGGGACGAUGAUGACGGUACCCACAGAAUAAGCUCCGGCUAACUUCGUGCCAGCAGCCGCGGUAAUACGAAGGGAGCUAGCGUUGUUCGGAGUUACUGGGCGUAAAGGGCGCGUAGGCGGUUUCGUAAGUCAGGUGUGAAAGCCCUGGGCUCAACCCAGGAACUGCGCUUGAGACUGCGAGACUUGAAUUCGGGAGAGGUAAGUGGAAUUCCCAGUGUAGAGGGGAAAUUCGUAGAGAUUGGGAAGAACAUCCGUGGCGAAGGCGGCUUACUGGACCGACAUUGACGCUGAGGCGCGAAAGCGUGGGGAGCAAACA